rnacentral:rRNA from 1 species
ACGAACGCUGGCGGCGUGCUUAACACAUGCAAGUCGAACGGUGAAGCGCCUUCCUUUUUGGUGGGUGUGGAUGAGUGGCGAACGGGUGAGUAACACGUGAGUAACCUGCCCCCUUCUUCUGGAUAACCGCAUGAAAGUGUGGCUAAUACGGGAUAUUCUGGGUCUGUCGCAUGAUGGGUCUGGGAAAGAUAUUGUUUCGGUGGGGGAUGGGCUCGCGGCCUAUCAGCUUGUUGGUGGGGUGAUGGCCUACCAAGGCGGUGACGGGUAGCCGGCCUGAGAGGGUGGACGGUCACACUGGGACUGAGACACGGCCGAGACUCAUACGGGAGGCAGCAGUGGGGAAUAUUGCACAAUGGGCGCAAGCCUGAUGCAGCGACGCCGCGUGAGGGAUGGAGGCCUUCGGGUUGUGAACCUCUUUCGCCAGUGAAGCAGGCCUGCCUCGUUUGUGGGUGGGUUGACGGUAGCUGGAUAAGAAGCGCCGGCUAACUACGUG